rnacentral:rRNA from 1 species
UACGUAGGUGGCAAGCGUUGUCCGGAUUUACUGGGCGUAAAGAGCGCGCAGGCGGUCGUUCAAGUCGCGUGUGAAAGCCCCCGGCUCAACUGGGGAGGGUCACGCGAUACUGAUCGACUCGAAGGCAGGAGAGGGAAGUGGAAUUCCCGGUGUAGUGGUGAAAUGCGUAGAUAUCAUGAGGAAUACCAGAGGCGAAGGCGGCUACCUGGACAAUUGCUGACGCUCAGGCACGAAAGCGUGGGGAGCAAAAGGG